rnacentral:rRNA from 1 species
CACGUAGGGUGCGAGCGUUGUCCGGAAUUAUUGGGCGUAAAGAGCUCGUAGGCGGUGUGUCGCGUCGGCCGUGAAAACCUGCAGCUUAACUGUGGGCUUGCGGUCGAUACGGGCAUCACUGGAGUUCGGCAGGGGAGACUGGAAUUCCUGGUGUAGCGGUGAAAUGCGCAGAUAUCAGGAGGAACACCAAUGGCGAAGGCAGCUCGCUGGGACGGUACUGACGCUGAGGCGCGAAAGCGUGGGGAGCGAACAGG